ACAGAGGGUGCGAGCGUUGUUCGGAAUUAUUGGGCGUAAAGCGCUUGUAGGCGGCCUGUUAAGUUCCGUGUGAAAUCCCCUGGCUUAACCAGGGAAGUGCGCGGAAAACUGGCGGGCUUGAGUGCCGGAGAGGGUCGCGGAAUUCCCGGUGUAGAGGUGAAAUUCGUAGAUAUCGGGAGGAACACCAGUGGCGAAGGCGGCGACCUGGACGGACACUGACGCUGAGACGCGAAAGCGUGGGGAGCAAACAGGA
rnacentral:rRNA from 1 species